AUUAGCCAAGCCAGACGUUUAAGGAGAUCCGCUGAAAGAAACUCAAAUUAUUAACAGAUCCUUAUCUGCACUGGGAGGUGUGAUAGCAGCGCUGGCGACCAAAAUCCCACAUAUUCCUUUCAGGAAUUCAAAGCUCACUCACUUGCUCCAAGAUUCUCUAGGGUGACAAUUGCUUUUCAAUAAAGCAACAACUUGUAACAUACAGAAGC